rnacentral:rRNA from 1 species
CCUACGGGGGGCUGCAGUGAGGAAUAUUGGUCAAUGGGCGGAAGCCUGAACCAGCCAAGUAGCGUGCAGGAUGACGGCCCUACGGGUUGUAAACUGCUUUUAUAAAGGAAUAAAGUGAGGCACGUGUGCCUUUUUGUAUGUACUUUAUGAAUAAGGAUCGGCUAACUCCGUGCCAGCAGCCGCGGUAAUACGGAGGAUCCGAGCGUUAUCCGGAUUUAUUGGGUUUAAAGGGAGCGUAGAUGGGUUGUUAAGUCAGUUGUGAAAGUUUGCGGCUCAACCGUAAAAUUGCAAUUGAUACUGGCAGCCUUGAGUACAGUUGAGGUAGGCGGAAUUCGUGGUGUAGCGGUGAAAUGCUUAGAUAUCACGAAGAACUCCGAUUGCGAAGGCAGCUUACUAAACUGCCACUGACAUUGAUGCUCGAAAGUGUGGGUAUCAAACAGGAUUAGAUACCCGAGUAGUC